CCGAGAGAGGGUGCCUCGCGCGCCCGACCUCCCAACCCUUUGAUGACAUACCGCGUUGCCUCGGGGUCGCCUUUCGUCGGGCGCCCCAGAGGACCUCAACCAAACUCUGCGUCCUUGCGUCGGAGUACUUAUUUGAAUCAAUCA
rnacentral:misc_RNA from 1 species